rnacentral:lncRNA from 1 species
UCCUUUCUUGCUAUUGACUUCAAUGUUCUUUUCCAGUUGUUUUUUCAGAUUACAUGAGUUGUGCUUGUUUUUUGUUGUCGGAUCUUGUCUAAAGGAGGCGAGCCUCUUCAUUUGGCAAGUCCUUUUCCUUAUUUUUCUCCUUUUUUUCUUCCUCUGAUAUUUGCUCACUAUCUUCCUGCAAGUAGUCAUGUAACAGAUAGAGUGCACGGGUAGCUUUGCUCCGCCGCCCUUUAAGAGUGUUGAUGGCUUCCUCCAGAUUUAAAACUUCUACUCUUGACUCCAGAUCCUCUAUUUUAUCAAGUCCUUUUUGUUGGAUGAAAUAACAUAGGCUAGGUAUCAUCUCUAUUUUUUUGUUGCCUUCAAGGACUUUGUAAAUUGUUCCAUUUUUUUCAGUGUCUUCCUCUCCCUACUACACAACUGCUUCAAAAUAAUUGAGUUAUCAUUCUUUGGACAUGAUUUAACAUAUUGAUUGAUGGGUUUAUGAUUGAUAGACAAUAUAAGAGUGUACUUUGCAAUACAUAUUUAAUUAAAAAUUAUUUUUUCCCCAAAUGAUAAAAGUUUACCCUUCCAAUCCCACUUCAAAACACAUAAAUACAUAAACAAAGAAACAAAAAAAGGAGAUAAAAUGAAAAGUGGAAGGACACAAAAGCAGUAAAAAAAAAGUGAAAAGAGGGACAUUCCAGAUCUUCUCAGAGAGCUCAUCGACCUCCACCCUGAAGUCUCAAUUCUGCUCCUACUCUUUUAAAACCUCAACAUCACUGAAACGCUAAUGACCAUUUCUGGUUUAUCUUCGAGGAAAAGGUAUGCUUCUGAACUUGAUCUAUUGUUGUUUUGAUUUGAUCUGAACAUUCUUGAGUUGUAGAUCUAUGGACCUUAUUUCUUACUUUGAGUCGUUUUGCAUUUUCUUAGCUAUUUUUUUAUUCAAAUAAAAGUUCAAGUGGAUUGAAUUCAAUCAAGGGAUUAAUACCAUUAUUUGUUCUUAAAUUCGGACAAAUUUCACUGAUUUUGUUGAUUGUUGCACUGUCUAUUAUAGAACUUGUGAGAAGUUCUGUCGAUCUCAUCUUUAAAAAUAAUCUGAAAAAAAAAUUACAUUAAAAAUUGAACAAAAUAAGGUUUUGAAAAACUAUACUCACUUUAUAGAAGCAUUUUUUC